rnacentral:rRNA from 1 species
CACGUAGUUAGCCGGGGCUUCUUAGUCAGGUACCGUCUUUUUUUCGUCCCUGCUGAUAGAGCUUUACAUACCGAAAUACUUCCUCGCUCACGCGGCGUCGCUGCAUCAGGGUUUCCCCCCAUUGUGCAAUAUUCCCCACUGCUGCCUCCCGUAGGAGUUUGGGCCGUGUCUCAGUCCCAAUGUGGCCGGUCGCCCUCUCAGGCCGGCUACUGAUCGUUGCCUUGGUGGGCUCUUACCCCUCCAACUAGCUAAUCAGACGCGGACUCAUCCUGCACCGAAUUUCUUUUCCUACUCCCUCAUGCGAGGCUGUAGGCUUAUGCGGUAUUAGCAGCCAUUUCUAGCUGUUGUCCCCCUGUGCAGGGCAGAUUAUCCACGUGUUACUCACCCGUCCGCCACUCAGUCAGGAAGGUGCAAGCACCCUCCUGCUUCGUUCGACUUGCAUGUGUUAAGCACGCCGCCAGCGUUCAUCCUGAGCCAGAGUACAAACUACU